rnacentral:rRNA from 1 species
ACGGAAGGCAGCAGUGGGGAAUAUUGGGCAAUGGGCGAAAGCCUGACCCAGCAACGCCGCGUGAAGGAAGAAGGUCUUCGGAUUGUAAACUUCUUUUAUGAGGGACGAAGGACGUGACGGUACCUCAUGAAUAAGCCACGGCUAACUACGUGCCAGCAGCCGCGGUAAUACGUAGGUGGCAAGCGUUAUCCGGAUUUACUGGGUGUAAAGGGCGCGUAGGCGGGGAGACAAGUCAGGUGUGAAAUCUAUGGGCUUAACCCAUAAACUGCAUUUGAAACUGUAUCUCUUGAGUGCUGGAGAGGUAGAUGGAAUUCCUUGUGUAGCGGUGAAAUGCGUAGAUAUAAGGAAGAACACCAGUGGCGAAGGCGAUCUACAGGACAGUAACUGACGCUGAGGCGCGAAAGCGUGGGGAGCAAACAGGAUUAGAUACCCUGGUA